rnacentral:rRNA from 1 species
GUGAACGCUGGCGGUAGGCCUAACGCAUGCAAGUCGAACGGCAGCACAGUAAGAGCUUGCUCUUACGGGUGGCGAGUGGCGGACGGGUGAGGAAUACAUCGGAAUCUACUUUUUCGUGGGGGAUAACGUAGGGAAACUUACGCUAAUACCGCAUACGACCUACGGGUGAAAGCAGGGGAUCUUCGGACCUUGCGCGAUUGAAUGAGCCGAUGUCGGAUUAGCUAGUUGGCGGGGUAAAGGCCCACCAAGGCGACGAUCCGUAGCUGGUCUGAGAGGAUGAUCAGCCACACUGGAACUGAGACACGGUCCAGACUCCUACGGGAGGCAGCAGUGGGGAAUAUUGGACAAUGGGCGCAAGCCUGAUCCAGCCAUACCGCGUGGGUGAAGAAGGCCUUCGGGUUGUAAAGCCCUUCUGUUGGGAAAGAAAAGCAGCAGGUUAAUACCCCGCUGUUCUGACGGUACCCAAAGAAUAAGCACCGGCUAACUUCGUG